rnacentral:rRNA from 1 species
AUUGAGCGCUGGCGGCAGGCCUAACACAUGCAAGUCGAACGGUAACAGGAAGCAGCUUGCUGCUUCGCUGACGAGUGGCGGACGGGUGAGUAAUGUCUGGGAAGCUGCCUGAUGGAGGGGGAUAACUACUGGAAACGGUAGCUAAUACCGCAUAAUGUCGCAAGACCAAAGAGGGGGACCUUCGGGCCUCUUGCCAUCGGAUGUGCCCAGAUGGGAUUAGCUUGUUGGUGGGGUAACGGCUCACCAAGGCGACGAUCCCUAGCUGGUCUGAGAGGAUGACCAGCCACACUGGAACUGAGACACGGUCCAGACUCCUACGGGAGGCAGCAGUGGGGAAUAUUGCACAAUGGGCGCAAGCCUGAUGCAGCCAUGCCGCGUGUAUGAAGAAGGCCUUCGGGUUGUAAAGUACUUUCAGCGGGGAGGAAGGGAGUAAAGUUAAUACCUUUGCUCAUUGACGUUACCCGCAGAAGAAGCACCGGCUAACUCCGUG